rnacentral:rRNA from 1 species
UGCAGUCGAGCGAGAUUAAUGCAAGUGGAGACUUCGGUCAAAGCGAACAUUAUGAAAGCGGCGGACGGGUGAGUAACGCGUGAGCAAUCUGCCCCAUACAAAGGGAUACCCACUGGAAACGGUGAUUAAUACCUUAUGAGACCACAAUGCCGCAUGGCAUAGGGGUCAAAGAUUUAUCGGUAUGGGAUGAGCUCGCGUCUGAUUAGCUAGUUGGUGAGGUAAUGGCUCACCAAGGCGACGAUCAGUAGCCGACCUGAGAGGGUGAACGGCCACACUGGAACUGAGACACGGUCCAGACUCCUACGGGAGGCAGCAGUGGGGAAUAUUGCACAAUGGGCGCAAGCCUGAUGCAGCAACGCCGCGUGAAUGAUGAAGGCCUUCGGGUCGUAAAGUUCUGUCCAAAGGGAAGAAUACAGUGACGGUACCUUUGGAGGAAGCCCCGGCUAACUACGUGCCAGCAGC